rnacentral:lncRNA from 1 species
GACUGGGAGCGCUAGGAGCCAUACUGGUGUCACUGGUGUCACCGGGAGCCUUACUGGGAGCACUGGGAGCCUUAGUGGUGUCACUGGGAGGGCACUGGGACCUGUACUGGGAGCACUGGGAGCCUUACUGGGAGUACUGGGAGCUGUAGGAGCCAGACUGGGGGCACUGGGAUCCAUACUGGGGGCACUGGGAGCCAAACUGGUAUUACUGGGAUCCAUACUGGGAGCACUGGGAGGGCACUGGGAGCCCUUACUGGGAGCACUGGGAGCCAAACUGGUGUCACUGGGAGCCUUACUGGUGUAACUGGGAAGGGACUGGGACCUGUACUGGGAGCUCUGGGAGCUGUAGGAGCCAGACUGGGAGCACUGGGAGCCCUUACUGGUGUUACUGGGAGCCAAACUGGGAGCACUGGUUUCCCUUUUCCCCCAAACUGGGAGCACUGGGAGGGCACUGGGACCCAUACUGGUGUAACUGGGAUCCAUACUGGUGUCACUGGUGCGAGUGGGAGCCUUACUGGGAGCACAGGUUUCCCUCUUACCCCUUACUGGGAGCACUGGGAGCCCUUACUGGUGUUACUGGGAGCACUGGUUUCCCCCUCACCCCAUACUGGGAGCACUGGGAGCCUUACUGGUGCCACUGGGAGCCAAACUGGGAGCACUGGUUUCCCUUUUCCCCCAAACUGGGAGCACUGGGAUCCCCCUCACCCCAUACUGGGAGCACUAGGAGCCCUUACUGGUGUCACUGGUGUCACUGGGAGCCUUACUGCUCUUACUGGGAAGGGACUGGGAUCCUUACUGGGAGCACUGGGAUCCUUACUGGUGCUACUGGGACCCAGACUGGUGUUACUGGUGUCACUGGGAUCCUUACUGGUCUUACUGGGAAGGGACUGGGAGCCAGACUGGGAGCACUGGAAGCCUUACUGGUGUUACUGGGAACACUGGGAAGGGACUGGGAGCAAUUUUUCUCCAUACUGGGAGCACUGGGAGCCCUUACUGGUGUCACUGGGAAGGGGCUGGGAGCCCUUACUGGGAGCACUGGGAGCUGUAGGAUCCAUACUGGGGGCACUGGGACCCAUACUGGUGUAACUGGGAGCCAGACUGGUGUCACUGGUGUCACUGGGAUCCUUACUGGUGUCACUGGUGUCACUGGGAGCCUUACUGGUUUUACUGGGAAGGGACUGGGAGCCUUACUGGGAGCACUGGGAGCCAAACUGGGAGCACUGGGAUCCAUACUGGUGUCACUGGGACCCUUACUGGUGCUACUGGGACCCAUACUGGUUUUACUGGUGGCACUGGUUUCCCUUUUCCCCCAAACUGGGAGCACUGGGAUGCCCCUCACCCCAUACUGGUGUCACUGGGAGCCUUACUGGGAGCACUGGGAGGGCACUGGUGUCCAUACUGGUGUCACUGGCGUAACUGGGAGCCAUACUGGUCUUACUGGGAAGGGACUGGGAGCCAAACUGGGAGGACUGGGAGCACUGGGACCCUUACUGGUGUCACUGGGAUCCUUACUGGGAGGAGUGGGGGGGCACUGGGACCCAUACUGGUGUCACUGGUGUCACUGGCAGCCAAACUGGUCUUACUGGGAAGGGGCUGGGAGCCUUACUGGGAGCACUGGGAGCUGUAGGAGCCAGACUGGGAGGGCACUGGUGUCACUGGGAUCCUUACUGGGAGCACUGGGAGCCUUACUGGUGUGACUGGUGUCACUGGGAGCCAAACUGGGAGCACUGGGAGCUGUAGGAGCUGGACUGGUGUCACUGGGAAGGGACUGGGAGCCUUACUGGUGUCACUGGGUCCUUACUGGUGUCACUGGGAUCCUUACUGGUUUUACUGGUGUCACUGGGAGCCAUACUGGUCUUACUGGGAGCCUUACUGGGAGCACUGGUUUCCCUCUUACCCCUUACUGGGAGCACUGGGAGCCCUUACUGGUGUUACUGGGAGCCAAACUGGGAGCACUGGUUUUCCUCUUAUCCUGUACUGGUGUCACUGGGAGCCCUUACUGGUGUCACUGGUGUCACUGGGAGACCUUACUGGGAGCACUGGGAUCCUUACUGGUGUCACUGGGAGCCUUACUGGUUUUACUGGUGUCACUGGGAUCCUUACUGGCAGCACUGGUGUCACUGGGAGUCAUACUGGUCUUACUGGGAAGGGA